rnacentral:rRNA from 1 species
CACGUAGGGGGCGAGCGUUGUCCGGAUUUAUUGGGCGUAAAGGGCUCGUAGGCGGCUCAGUAAGUCGGGUGUGAAACCUCCAGGCUCAACCUGGAGACGCCACUCGAUACUGCUGUGGCUAGAGUCCGGUAGGGGAGCAUGGAAUUCCUGGUGUAGCGGUGAAAUGCGCAGAUAUCGGGAGGAACACCGGUGGCGAAGGCGGCGACCUGGGCUGACACUGACGCUCAUGCACGAAAGCGUGGGGAGCAAACAGG